rnacentral:rRNA from 1 species
AUUGAACGCUGGCGGCAGGCCUAACACAUGCAAGUCGAGCGGAGCGGCGGACGGGUGAGUAAUGCCUAGGAAUCUGCCUGGUAGUGGGGGAUAACGUCCGGAAACGGGCGCUAAUACCGCAUACUAUCAGAUGAGCCUAGGUCGGAUUAGCUAGUUGGUGGGGUAAAGGCCUACCAAGGCGACGAUCCGUAACUGGUCUGAGAGGAUGAUCAGUCAAAAGGGAACGGAGAAACGGUCAAGACUCCUACGGGAGGCAGCAGUUGGGAAUAUGGGACAAUGGGCGAAAGCCUGAUCCAGCCAUGCAGCGUGUGUGAAGAAGGUCUUCGGAGUGUAAAGCACUUGAAGUUGGGAGUCGUUACAAACAGAAUAAGCACCGGCUAACUUCGUGCCAGCAGCCGCGGUAAUUC